GUACGACAGUGCUAUUGCUGACACGGCCAACCCUGACAAUCGCACGACCUCGUGCGUCCAUGUCGUGCAUCCGCCAACUCGGCGUUACUCCUCCCGACCUAUACAACUGUAACGAGUGACAUUAAUAACUGUUCGGCUAUUCCUGACCAAAACGCUGAGACUGUAAUGCACUAGCGGGUCGGGCGUACUGGGCCCCUUCAUCCCUUCCUAACAUAACGUGCCCCGG
rnacentral:misc_RNA from 1 species